rnacentral:lncRNA from 1 species
UCUAUUUGUUAUGUUUGGGCUUAUCAAGAGUUUUCUACAUUAUUAUAUUGUCACAGUAAGCCCCUGUUUGGAGGGCAUUUUUUGGAAGAAGAAAAUGAAUUUUUGGACCAUUUGUUGGUCACCUGGGCCCCACAUGAGAGUGUAAUGGUCAAUUGUUGUGGCUGCCAAUAGGUGGUAACGGUAGGAAAAUGAAUUUUUUGGCCCAAAAAAUGCCCUCCAAACAGGAUCUAAGUAUCUUCUCAAACUUAUAAUUAAUAAAAAGUAAUAUAUUCAAAUAUGUCUAAAAAACUGCACAAAUACAAUUUGAUGAAAUUCAUAUAUAUAAUAUAAAUAAAUGGUUAAAUUUUUUCACAACAUAUGAAAAACUUUACCACAUGCUUGAAGCUCCUUUAUUGUUAUUCAACGAUCCCUAAACUGAAACGACCUUGAGAUAUGCACUAAUGGAGCUCUGGAACACUGUUUUUGGAGGUACUAAACCCACGUCGUACCCAAGGAAAGAAGAUGAUAAAUGCAAGAAAAAGGGCUAAAAGAGAUACAAGUAGAAUCAACGUGAUUUUUCCAUGAAAAGCGAAUUCUCGACCAUCUACUUGCGAAAAAGGAGGAGGUGAUAUUGGAGUGUAAGUCAUUAUUAUUCACUCUACAUAGGAAUCCGUUUUCUAAAAAUGGGCUUCCUACUAUGGUGGAUCUCUGCAACAUGAAAGAGAAGAGUGGAGGAGUAGAUAUUGCAAACCUAAAUUUGUAUAAGCUUAAACAAGAUGUUGAUGUUUGUGCAAUUUAGGGCCAUAUAUUAUUUACUUGUCAAUGAGACAUUUAUAGAAGUGGUCACGAA